rnacentral:rRNA from 1 species
AUGCCAUUCAGAAGCAAGCAGUCCUCAAGAUCCACGUCCAGCAACUCAAGGUAUAUUUGGGAAACUAUCUACAUGUCAGCCACACGAGGAUCUCAAAUGUUGGGCUGCCAGUUUGUAUUGCAUUGGAAUAGCUCAUUUGAUGGACACUAUUUACAACUACUUGCUGCACUGAGAAGUUCCCGGUGUGAGUUAUAUUGUAUUGGGGGGCCCUGUGGUUAUUGGCAAUAUGCAUAUCCACAGCAGUGGCGUUCAUCUCAGCGAGAAAGUUAUACGAAUUUUGGGAGGGCUGGCGAUGCUACAUUGAACACAAAACAAAAAUCACAAAUUUUAUUAAGUGGCAUUCUUGUGGAAUUUGUGAGUAGGCGAACCCCCGGAGUCGGCUAUUUCUGCCAAACAUCUGACCAGAAGAACAAAAGGCUUAAUUACAUUCUUGAAGCGGGUGAACAAGUUAUGAGGUUGUGCUCUGUCGAACUGGCACCUUGGGCUUGUUCUGCAUUACAUUUCAUUAAGCCCUGCGGUUAUGGGUUGGGUAUGCGCAUAAUUGUGGAGUUGAAGCCUUGGCCAAAAUGGAAAAUCAAUGGUCGUUGUGAGGGCAUGCCUUUAUUUUGGCGGUCUCCUCAUAAGGCAUUCCCUGCAAUAUUUUCAGUAACUACAACCAACGUGUUGCACCAAAUGGAUUGGUGCUAUUCUGUUCAGUGUGUACAGCCAACUAAUGCCAUUGGUGAUGCUGCUUUACAGAUGUGGUCUGCAAAAAGUAGCGUUCUUGCCUUCCUGAGUGUAUGGUUGUACCCAAUAUCUGCAGAAACAGUGUUCAGUUUCAUGUUACAGCUUCAAGCCCUCCUGCCGAUAAAAAAGUUUUCGGAUCAUGGAACUCUGAGUGCAGCUACAGCUACUAAAAAGCAGUUCGGAAUCAACAACAAUUCCUUGAUACAAUCUGAUGUUACAGGUACAACACGAUCAAGAGACACACGUCUUAUUUGCACUCCAUGGAGUUCUUGGGUACUCUGUCUCAUGUUAGUUGAUCGAGCGGAAACGGAAGAAAGGGUACAUGUCUUUGAUCCCAAGUCUGGUUUACUCUGUUGCUCUUCUCUCGCUCUUUGUACUAGUGAAUGCCAGACCAACUUGAUUCCAGGAGAGAUAGUCGCUGGCAUUUGGUCUUCUCACAAUUAUGAGUACAAGGGUGCAGCAUUUUCUGGACACUUACACUUCACACGCAAGUUUUCUCGAGAGGUCCAGCUGGCCACUUGCCCUUUCAGUUCCUUAUAUUUCUCCAGACUUACAGAAUUGAGAUAUAUUUCCCUGGGAUCCAUUGCUCACUGUUUCUAUGGUGGUUCCCAUCUGAUACAAGAUCACUUCAUGAAUGGACACCUCGUAUCACAAUGUAUAAGCAGGUGCAGAUGUUCAUAG